rnacentral:rRNA from 1 species
UGGGGAAUUUUGGACAAUGGGCGCAAGCCUGAUCCAGCAAUGCCGCGUGCAGGAUGAAGGCCUUCGGGUUGUAAACUGCUUUUGUACGGAGCGAAAAGGUCUGCCCUAAUACGGUGGGCUCAUGACGGUACCAUAAGAAUAAGCACCGGCUAACUACGUGCCAGCAGCCGCGGUAAUACGUAGGGUGCGAGCGUUAAUCGGAAUUACUGGACGUAAAGGGAGCGUAGGCGGACAUUUAAGUCAGGGGUGAAAUCCCCGGGCUCAACCUGGGAACUGCCUUUGUGACUGCAUAGCUAGAGUACGGUAGAGGGGGAUGGAAUUCCGCGUGUAGCAGUGAAAUGCGUAGAUAUGCGGAGGAACACCGAUGGCGAAGGCAAUCCCCUGGACCUGUACUGACGCUCAUGCACGAAAGCGUGGGGAGCAAACA